AAGGACGCGUAGGCGGAUUAUCAAGUCUUUUGUGAAAUCUAAUGGCUUAACCAUUAAACUGCUUAGGAAACUGAUAGUCUAGAGUAGGGGAGAGGUAGAUGGAAUUCUUGGUGUAGGGGUAAAAUCCGUAGAGAUCAAGAGGAAUACCAAUUGCGAAGGCGAUCUGCUGGAACCUAACUGACGCUGAUGCGUGAAAGCGUGGGUAGCAAACAGGAUUAGAUACCCUGGUAGUNCACGCCCUAAAC
rnacentral:rRNA from 1 species